CAUGCCUUACACAUGCAAGUCGAACGGCAGCACGGGAGCAAUCCUGGUGGCGAGUGGCGAACGGGUGAGUAAUAUAUCGGAACGUGCCCAGUCGUGGGGGAUAACGUAGCGAAAGCUACGCUAAUACCGCAUACGAUCUACGGAUGAAAGCGGGGGAUCGCAAGACCUCGCGCGAUUGGAGCGGCCGAUAUCAGAUUAGGUAGUUGGUGAGGUAAAGGCUCACCAAGCCGACGAUCUGUAGCUGGUCUGAGAGGACGACCAGCCACACUGGGACUGAGACACGGCCCAGACUCCUACGGGAGGCAGCAGUGGGGAAUUUUGGACAAUGGGCGCAAGCCUGAUCCAGCAAUGCCGCGUGCAGGAUGAAGGCCUUCGGGUUGUAAACUGCUUUUGUACGGAACGAAACGGUGAGCUCUAAUACAGUUUGCUAAUGACGGUACCGUAAGAAUAAGCACCGGCUAACUACGUG
rnacentral:rRNA from 1 species